rnacentral:rRNA from 1 species
GCAAGUCGAACGAUGACUCUGUGCUUGCACAGAUGAUUAGUGGCGAACGGGUGAGUAACACGUGAGUAACCUGCCCUUGACUCUGGGAUAAGCCUGGGAAACUGGGUCUAAUACUGGAUAUGCACCGUGGACCGCAUGGUUCUUGGUGGAAAGAUUUUAUUGGUCAAGGAUGGACUCGCGGCCUAUCAGCUUGUUGGUGAGGUAAUGGCUCACCAAGGCGACGACGGGUAGCCGGCCUGAGAGGGUGACCGGCCACACUGGGACUGAGACACGGCCCAGACUCCUACGGGAGGCAGCAGUGGGGAAUAUUGCACAAUGGGCGAAAGCCUGAUGCAGCGACGCCGCGUGAGGGAUGACGGCCUUCGGGUUGUAAACCUCUUUCAGUAGGGAAGAAGCGAGAGUGACGGUACCUGCAGAAGAAGCGCCGGCUAACUACGUGCCAGCAGCCGCGGUAAUACGUAGGGCGCAAGCGUUAUCCGGAAUUAUUGGGCGUAAAGAGCUCGUAGGCGGUUUGUCGCGUCUAUCGUGAAAGUCCGAGGCUCAACCUCGGAUCUGCGGUGGGUACGGGCAGACUAGAGUGAUGUAGGGGAGACUGGAAUUCCUGGU